rnacentral:rRNA from 1 species
UACGAAGGGGGCUAGCGUUGUUCGGAAUUACUGGGCGUAAAGCGCACGUAGGCGGAUUAGUAAGUCAGGGGUGAAAUCCCGGGGCUCAACCUCGGAACUACCUUUGAUACUGCUGAUCUCGAGUCCGGAAGAGGUGAGUGGAAUUCCUAGUGUAGAGGUGAAAUUCGUAGAUAUUAGGAAGAAUACCAGUGGCGAAGGCGGCUCACUGGUCCGGUAAUGACGCUGAGGUGCGAAAGCGUGGGGAGCAAACAGG